rnacentral:lncRNA from 1 species
UGUAAAUAACUUGAGCCUUUAUAAAAUGAUCCUUUUUUGGAAAAUACACAGAAAAAGUUGUGCGCAGGUUUACCUAGAAUGUCAAUUGGAAUGAAGACUGUGAUGGCUUAGCCAUCACAGGUCAUUCUUAUAGAAGCAGCAUUGUCUGUGAAAGGCUUUCAGGAUUCAUCCUUAGAAAGGGUUUAUUUUCCUCUCACUUUCUCCACUGGUGUAAGAUUACAGCUUUCCAGCGUCUCUUGGUGAGAAGGAAAUACAACUUGAUUCCUCUGUCUGAUAAAGUAGGCUUGGGGCUUUUUUGUUUUUUUGAGAUGGAGUUUCGCUCUUGUUGCCCAGGCUAGAGUGCAAUGGCACGAUCUCGGCUCACUGCAACCUCUACCUCCCGGAUUCUAGCAAUUCUUCUGCCUCAGCCUCCUGGCUAAUUUUGUAUUUUUAGUAGAGACAGAGUUUCUCCAUGUUGGUCAAGCUGGUCUCAAACUCCUGACCUCAGGUGAUCCGUCCACCUUGGCUUCCCAAAGUGCCGGGAUUAGGAAUACAGGCGCAAGCCACUGCGCCUGGCCAGCUUGGGGCUCUUAAUGGCUCCCUCCUUGCUUGUAGGCAGGGCUGCAGCAUCUGCCUUCCCUUCUUCCGCACUGCACCCUUCUUCCCUCGGACUUGAACUUUGCAUCUUGGUUCACUCCUGGGUGUUCACCACUGUCCUUCUGAUUGCUAUGUCCAGCAGCAGCACAUGACCAUCCAAAGGAAGCCACUGUCCCUUUAGAGUCAUGCUGGAGUUUGUCAGCAACAUUUACUAGGUACCCCCUGCCUCUUUGCCAUGAGGUCUUGGCAGGUACAUCACUUAUGACAAAUUGUUUUCAGAUUAAGAGAGGUCUUAUUGGGAGCAAGGGAAUUUAAUUAAAGUCAAAGCCCAAAUUCUGGCCAAAUGAGUGUCCUCUGUAUGUAUGGCUGAUGCCUAGGUUCUCUGUAAAUACAUCAAUACCAGGGAGCUCACCUGUCCUCUUCCUUCCUUCCUGCUAAUGGGGACCCUAAGAUGUUUAGUGAGAAAAAAGGGUAACUUUGUUUCUUUCCAAACUACCUUCACUUGGACACAUCCAUGAUGAAUACCCUCUCUCAAUCAUCUCUGAGCUCCAGGUAGAGCUCCCUAUGAAUGGACAUUCCUGUGACCUCUUCCAGAUCUGGGAUAUUCCAGAAGAUGAUGUAUGGAAGAAGCUGUUUUUCCGCAGAAUGCUCAUUUGACUUCCAAUAUUUGUUAAACUGCAUCUUAUAUGACUUCUGAAUCCAAAGAGUCAUGGUGAGGAAUCCACCAACCCCAGAUGGGUCCACGACUAGCAGGGAUUCUUCAAACUCCUUAAAGUUGUCUGAACUUUUCUGUAUGUGAUUUUUAUUCUCCAGAGGCGAGAAUCCACAGUGCUCAUGGUGUAUUCAAAGAGGUCUGCAACACCUGCAGGUGACAGUUCCCAUGAGAUCUGACUCCUGCCUCUCUUGUCAGCCCCAUCUCUUGUUCCUCCUGGCUUUGUGUCUGCAUUCCAGCCACAUUGGCCUUGCGGGACCUUCAACACGUUCAGUUUGUUCCUCUACAGCAAUGGAUCUUCAUUCUCUCUCUCUCCUGACUUGGGAUUAGUGGGAAGAUAUCACAGAUCACUCUAUUCCUCAGUCCUUUGCUGCCUGUUAUUUUUGAUGAAUGAUUGAUUGUGGUGCCACUGAAAUGGGGAGGCUUGGGAAAGAAUUCUACUCUUGAGAAAUCAAGAGUAGAGGUUUCAAAUAAGUGGUUGGAUAUGCACAUAAGGAGCGUAGUAGAGAAAGGUGGUUGUCAGCAGCCUAUCACUGGCAUUUCCUUUAUCCAGAUGUGUAAAAUCAAUAGCGUAAUUACCAGAUCUCCCCUGCUCAGGAGUGCUGUGUAGGCUGGCCUAGGACGUGGGUUCUUCUUUUCUGCUCCUCCCCACUUUGCUGGACUUUAUUCCCCUACACAACGCUUUGGUACCUCUGCUAUUACCAUAUUCUCAUUCUGCCUGUCUCCCUUUGCUCUUCAUAUCCUCCUGUCCUAGGUCCAGCUUUCGUAGCAUCUUUUACCAAGAUUUAUUCCAGACAGGGGAUCCUUUCAGAUCUUCGCAUUCUCUCCUCAUUUCCCAGCCUGAUCAAAACAUGCCUUUCGAUGCUCAUUCACCAAGGAUUCUGCUACCACAUAGCAAAUAUAUGCUGAGAGGUGGUGCUGUGUACGGAAUAUGGAUUUGGAGAAAGGUUGGAAUUUGAACUGAAAAUCUACUACUCAUGGGCUGAGAAAGACACAUAACAUCUUCAUUUUCUCAUCCUGACCUCUUUGCAGCAAUUAAUUGUAUAGACCACACUUCAUUGUGGUAACAUUCGCUUCUAUCUGUGUUUCCCAUAGGUGAUCUUCAUUCCCAUGGCUUCAAUGACUGACUAUCCAUGGGCUUAUGUUUUCAGUCUGACUCUCUCCUGGACUCCUGAACUGCAAACCUAGCUCUCUUCUGGAUCCCCCAAGCUCUUGUUACUCAAUCAAAUUUACUACUUUCCCAUGAAACUGCUUCUUCCCUCAUUCCAUCUGUAUGAAUGGCACUACGGAGACUCAGCUUCCUAAGCCAGAGACCCUAAAGCCACACACCCCCCCACCACCCACUCCCUUUCCACUUCAAAGCCCUGUUGAUUGUUGAGCUGCUGUGUUCUAUAGAUUCUGCUUCCACAGCAACUGUGGAAUCUCAUGACUGAUCUCCACUCUCCUGGGGUGAUAUGGUUUGGCUGUGUCCCCACCCAAAUCUCAUCUUGAACUGUAACUCCCACAAUUCCCAUGUGUCAUGGGAGGAACCUGGUGGGAAGUAAUUGAAUAACGGGGACCGUUUUCUCCCCUGCUGUUCUCAUGAUAGUGCAUAAGUCUCACGAGAUCUGAUGGUUUUGAAAACGGGAAUUGCCCUGCACAAGCUCAUUCUCUCUUGCCU